GACGUAGGGGGCGAGCGUUGUCCGGAUUUAUUGGGCGUAAAGAGCUCGUAGGCGGUUUGUCGCGUCUGCUGUGAAAACUCGGGGCUCAACUCCGAGCUUGCAGUGGGUACGGGCAGACUAGAGUGCGGUAGGGGAGACUGGAAUUCCUGGUGUAGCGGUGGAAUGCGCAGAUAUCAGGAGGAACACCGGUGGCGAAGGCGGGUCUCUGGGCCGUAACUGACGCUGAGGAGCGAAAGCAUGGGGAGCGAACAGG
rnacentral:rRNA from 1 species